AGAGACUUAGUCCCAACCUUACAGUUAGUUCUUGCUAGACAUAUACAUGCAAGUAUCCGCACCCCAGUGUAAAUGCCCCUCCCCGUCCACUCAAACCGACAAGUAGGCAGCCGGUAUCAGGCACACACCAUAGUAGCCCAAGACACCUUCAUCCGGCCACACCCCCAAGGGUACUCAGCAGUAAUUAACAUUAAGCAAUAAACGAAAGCUUGACUUAGUUAUAGCAAUCCGCACCAGGGUGGUUAAAUCUCGUGCCAGCCACCGCGGUCACACAAGAGACCCAAACUAACCGUACACGGCGUAAAGAGUGGAACCACCACAUCUCUCAACCAACUAAGGCUAAAAUAUAACCAAGCCGUCAUAAGCCCACGAUAUACUAAAAACCACCAUCAAAACGACCUUAGAAGCCCCUAGAUGAACAAAUCCCACGAAAGCCAGGACUCAAACUGGGAUUAGAUACCCCACUAUGCCUGGCCCUAAAUCCUGAUGUUCAACUACUACAAGAACAUCCGCCAGGGAACUACGAGCGUAAACGUUUAAAACCUUAAGGACUUGGCGGUGCCCAAACCCACCUAGAGGAGCCUGUCCUAUAAUCGAUAACCCACGAUACACCCGACCAUCUCUUGCCAAACAGCCUACAUACCGCCGUCGUCAGCCCACCUCUUGAGAGCACAACAGUGAGCCUAACAGCCCCCACCCGCUAAAAAGACAGGUCAAGGUAUAGCCCAUGAGAUGGAAGAGAUGGGCUACAUUUUCUAACAAUAGGAAACCCACAAAAGGGGACAUGAAAAUCCCCCAGAAGGCGGAUUUAGAAGUAAAGACGAGACCAUAAAGCUCUCUUUAACCCGGCCCCGGGCACGUACAUACCGCCCGUCACCCUCCUCGCAAGCCACAACCCAACAGAACAUAUACUGUCACACAGGCUAAAGACGAGGUAAGUCGUAACAAGGUAAGUGUACCGGAAGGUGUACUUAGCACAC
rnacentral:ncRNA from 1 species